UAGGAUGUGGUGUAGGGGUAGCACGAAGAUUUUUGAAUUCUUAAGUGCAGGUUCAAGUCCUGUUGUCCUAG
rnacentral:tRNA from 1 species